rnacentral:rRNA from 1 species
GAUGAACGCUGGCGGCGUGCCUAACACAUGCAAGUCGAACGGAAAGGCCCUGCUCUUGUGGGGCGCUCGAGUGGCGAACGGGUGAGUAACACGUGUGUAACCUGCCCCUGUCUUUGGGAUAACUCUAGGAAACUGGGGCUAUUAUCGGAUAGGAGCUCCUGCUGCAUGGUGGGGGUUGGAAAGUUUCGGCGGUUGGGGAUGGUCUCGCGGCUUACCAGCUUGUUGGUGGGGUAGUGGCUGACCAAGGCUUCGACGGGUAGCCGGCCUGAGAGGGUGAACGGCCACAUGGGGACUGAGGUAGGGAGCAGAAUCCUACGGGAGGCAGCAGUGGGGAGUAUGGCACAAUGAGCGGAAGCCUGAUGCAGCGACGCCGCGUGCGGAAUGACGGCCUUCGGGUUAUAAACCGCUUUCGCCUGUAACGAAGCGUGAGUGACGGUAAUGAGUAAAGAAGCACCGGCUAACUACGUG